AUGAGCUCCUGCAGGACACGGGCACGACAAAAGGGUCAGGGAGGAAGAGAGGGAAAGAGAAGAAAGAGCAGGGGCGCACGGCGAGGCAUUCGUCCCAGGUUCGUUCGAAUAGACAAGGCGCUUGGGUCGGCCGACGCUCUGCUCGGUGGUACUCUGGCCGGGGCUCUCGGGAGGAGGAGGUUGCGGGAUUGGGUGGAUCGAGGGGAGGAGAAUGUUGGACCGGUGCUGAAAACGAGGGAGUUGGUCGGGAUCGACUGGGAAUGGGUGGAUGGCUCUGGGAGGAUCCCGAUGAAGAGAGUGGCAGCGGUGAGGAGGAGGAUUGGUGGAUUGGACAAGAUAGGCUAG
rnacentral:rRNA from 1 species